rnacentral:rRNA from 1 species
UACGUAGGGUGCGAGCGUUAAUCGGAAUUACUGGGCGUAAAGCGUGCGCAGGCGGUUCGUUAAGUUCGUUGUGAAAGCCCCGGGCUCAACCUGGGAACUGCAAUGGAAACUGGCGGGCUUGAAUGCGGCAGAGGGGGGUGGAAUUCCGCGUGUAGCAGUGAAAUGCGUAGAUAUCGGGAGGAACACCUGUGGCGAAGGCGGCCCCCUGGUUGGAUACUGACGCUGAGACGCGAAAGCGUGGGGAGCAAACAGG